rnacentral:rRNA from 1 species
GACAGCAGUCGCCGCGGUAAUACGAAGGGUGCAAGCGUUACUCGGAAUUACUGGGCGUAAAGCGUGCGUAGGUGGUGGUUUAAGUCCGUUGUGAAAGCCCUGGGCUCAACCUGGGAAUUGCAGUGGAUACUGGGUCACUAGAGUGUGGUAGAGGAUAGUGGAAUUUCCGGUGUAGCAGUGAAAUGCGUAGAGAUCGGAAGGAACAUCUGUGGCGAAGGCGACUAUCUGGGCUAACACUGACACUGAGGCACGAAGGCGUGGGGAGCAAACAGGAUUAGAUACCCCCGUAGUCCCUGUCUCUUAUAC